CCUACGGGAGGCAGCAGUGGGGAAUAUUGCACAAUGGGGGAAACCCUGAUGCAGCGACGCCGCGUGAGUGAAGAAGUAUUUCGGUAUGUAAAGCUCUAUCAGCAGGGAAGAAAAUGACGGUACCUGAUUCAGAAGCACCGGCUAACUACGUGCCAGCAGCCGCGGUAAUACGUAGGGGGCAAGCGUUAUCCGGAUUUAUUGGGUGUAAAGGGAGUGUAGACGGCAGCACAAGUGUGGAGUGAAAUGCCGGGGCUUAACCCCGGAACUGCUUUGGAAACUGUGCAGCUAGAGUGCAGGAGAGGUAAGUGGAAUGCCUAGUGUAGCGGUGAAAUGCGUAGAGAUUAGGAGGAACACCAGUGGCGAAGGCGGCUUACUGGACUGUAACUGACGUUGAGGCUCGAAAGCGUGGGGAGCAAACAGGAUUAGAUACCCUUGUAGUC
rnacentral:rRNA from 1 species